rnacentral:sRNA from 1 species
UUACACAUAGGCGCACUUGUCUCCUUUAGUUUGGUUUUGGUCACUUUAAAUUAUAGAGGCAAUUGCGCUUUUUGUGUAUUAAAAAAAGCAGGAAGUUUUACCUUCCCACCAUAAAAGAUGAAGAACCAAACAUUUUCAAAUUAUAACCGCUACAAUUAUAAAUGAUUAAAGUGUUUCAACAUAUUAUAUAUAUUCCACGCUCACA